AUUGAACGCUGGCGGCAUGCUUUACACAUGCAAGUCGAACGGUAACAGGGUGCUUGCACCGCUGACGAGUGGCGAACGGGUGAGUAAUGCGUCGGAACGCACCGAGUAAUGGGGGAUAACGCAGCGAAAGCUGUGCUAAUACCGCAUACGCUCUGAGGAGGAAAGCGGGGGACCUUCGGGCCUCGCGUUAUUCGAGCGGCCGACGUCUGAUUAGCUAGUAGGUGAGGUAAGAGCUCACCUAGGCGACGAUCAGUAGCGGGUCUGAGAGGAUGAUCCGCCACACUGGGACUGAGACACGGCCCAGACUCCUACGGGAGGCGGCAGUGGGGAAUUUUGGACAAUGGGCGCAAGCCUGAUCCAGCCAUGCCGCGUGUCUGAAGAAGGCCUUCGGGUUGUAAAGGACUUUUGUCAGGGAGGAAAUCCUUAGCGCUAAUACCGCUGAGGGAUGACAGUACCUGAAGAAUAAGCACCGGCUAACUACGUGCCGGCAGCCGCCGUAA
rnacentral:rRNA from 1 species